rnacentral:rRNA from 1 species
CCCCUAGAUGUUCUGGGCCGCACGCGCGCUACACUGAACAGUUCAACAAGUCUUAACCUUGGCCGAUAGGUCUGGGUAAUCUUUGAACGCUGUUCGUGAUUGGGAUAGACCUUUGCAAUUAUGGGUCUUCAACGAGGAAUUCCUAGUAAACGCAAGUCAUCAGCUUGCAUUGAUUACGUCCCUGCCCUUUGUACACACCGCCCGUCGCACCUACCGAUUGAGUGAUCCGGUGAAUAAUUCGGACUGCAGCACUGCUUGGUCUCCAGGCUUUGCAGCGGAAAGUUUAGUGAACCUUAUCACUUAGAGGAAGGAGAAGUCGUAACA